GAUUGAUUUAAGAGUCUAAGAAUUCCCAUUGUGGCUUGGUGGGUUAAGUACCUGACAUAGCAUCCUUGAGGACAUGGGUUUAAUCCCUGGCCUUGCUCAGUGGGUUAAGGAUCUGGCGUUGCCACGAGCUGUGGUGUAGGUCACGGACUCGGCUCAGAUCUGGUGUUGCUGUGGCCUAGGCUGGUGGCUACAGCUCCCGUUAGCCAGAGCCUGGGAACUCCCAUAUGCCUCGGGUGCGGCCUUAAAUAGAAAAACAAACAAAACAAUCUUGAGGUGAAGAGAUUGUUACCCCGUAUUAUCCAGAUGGACCCUAAAUGUGUUUUAAGAGAGAGGUGACUGCAGAGGAGCCCCUGUGAUGACGGAGACAAGAUUAGAGGGUGGGCUUGGGAGAUGCAGGAGGGGCCACAUGCCUGGGGAAGGGAUUCUCCCCUUAGAGCCUCCCGAAGGCACCAGACUGGGCAGCACCCUGACGUGAGCCCAGCGAAACCAGCUUCCAGACCCUAAGAAGAAAUGGGCGUUAAGCCACCAGGUUUGCCGCAGUCCGUUCCAGCAGCCCUGGGAAAGUCACUCGGAAGUCUGGGGGGUCUGAGGGGGUGACUUCUGAGCAGAGCCCUGGGUGUACGUGGCUGGAGGCCAGAUCUCGGGGUGCUCUCAGUUUGGGGCUGGGCGCCCUGCUGACGUGGGGGCUGGGACCACAGAGCCAAAACCGGGAUCCAGGCCCAGUUCAGAGUCACGAAUUCCUUGGGAACCAUGAGCUCGGAUGGCCCUGAGCCUGGACGUGAGCCGCGGUGAAUUUAUGUAUUUUUAAUGUAAAAAUGUCAGUCGGGGUAUAAAUACCCUUUGCUUUUCUCUAGAUUUAGCUGCGCAUGCGUGUGUCUUAUUAAGGCAACAGAUACUUCCUUGGCUUUCUAACUUGGGCGUUUCCAGCAGGACAGCAUAGCCUCUGGCUCGAAUUCAGGUCACCCAGCGGUGCCUGUGUCCUGACCGAAAGGCCCAGGGGCCUCGUGCCAGCCUGGCAUCUGCCAUCUUUCUCAUUUGAGAUCCCCGAAUGCAGAACUGAGAUGAGGCUUUGGGGGCUGAUACUUGGGGAGGGGUGGUCCCUGGAAGCAGGAGUCAGGGGGCAGGAGGAUGAGAUGCGGAAAAGGGGGGGUGUGAGGCAAAGGGAGUUACCGGGUUCACGGUCACCGUGAUGGCUGGGGCUCCCCUGCACUGGGGACCCUCCCGAGGAACCCAGAGAACAUGCUUUAGAAUCGUCCCCCUGGAGGACGGGGGCUGGGGCAGGCUGGGUGGGGGCCGGGGAGCCUGUGGUGGGGGUCGCCCCUGCCCGUCUGGAGGUCUCUGUCUCCUGACAGCCCAGGGAGGGGUGAGCGGUUGUACCCAAAGCCAGUAUGGCGUGGUCCUCACCAAACCCAGACUUGACGGUGCCCUGUGGCCCAGGGGAAAGGCAGGUAUUUCAGCCCCGUCGAGCGAGAGCUCAGCCAGCCACCGAGGUCUGUCUUCAUGACUCUCGGCCACCAGCGAGGCAGAGGGUGCUCAGAGGAUCGUCGGAGAAAGUUCAGGUGUGUGGGGGGAGGGGUGGGCCCGCGCAGGUGCUGUGACCCUGUGUAUCGCAUCCUCUCUGAUGACCUGUUUGGAGCCGGGUCAGCCCAGGUGGUACCUUCUCUGCAUCCCGGGAGCCCCUUCGCCAUCCAGGAGGCUCUCUUCAUCUUGUCCUGUACUCACACGGCCACUCUCUUGGCAUCUUCUGUGUGCAGUCUUGUCUUGUAGUGAGGUACCUACUUCCUCUAACUUGCGUUUGAGGACGCGGGACGCACGUGUUUUAUUGAUCUUGCUGGUCCCUCUGUAGCUUGUGAGGAACAGAGCCCAAGUGAGGAUUCGAGAGAUGCCAGAGUGAUCUGUGGACACUGUGACCUCAGGCCACUCGAAGCCAAGGGAGCGGCAGCCCGGGGAGCUUGCACUGCGUUCAGUUGUUAACCUUUCACGCCUAAUUGGUGGUGGCUUAUGACGAAGGUAAGAAUAAGUAGCUCUCUGGAGCAGUGCCUGGGGGAGAGGGGGGCUGAUGCUCGGGGUUCAGUUGGCUCCGUUGGGGAGUGGCGGGGACGGCACACAGAGCUCACCUGUCACGUCCCUUAAUAACCGCCUGGACUGGCGUGUUUUGACCCACCCAAUUCCACGCUCGAUCUUGUUUCAGCCUAUAGUUAGGAGCUGGGGCAUGGCCGGGGGAGAGGGGGAUUUGACCCCAUGGAGCUGUGCAGGUGGGCGGGGGCUGGGGAAGGUCAGCCAACCCUGUGUCCACAAUGCAAGCAUCUCACUCCAGCAGGCAGCCAGCGGUAGCACAGCUUCUUCACAUUGGCAUUAAAACAGUUUUUUUCGAGUUCCCAUUGUGGCUCAGCGGGUUAAGAACCUGACUAGAAUCCAUGAGGAUGAGGGUUUGGUCCCUGGCCUCACUUAGUGAGCUAGGGGUCCAAUCAGAGCUGUAGCCACCAGCCUACACCACGCUAGAUCUGAGCCGCAUCUGCGACCUACAGGGCAACGCCUGAUCCUUAACCCACUGAGCGAGACCAGGGAUCGAACCCUAGUCCUCAUGGAUGCUAGUUGGGUUCGCUAACUGUUGAGCCAUGACAGGAACUCUACAAGAUUGCAUUUUUUAAAAAAAAUGUCUCGUUAAAAAAAAAUAGGCUAUUCCUGAGGUUGGGGUCACCUGGCAUCUCUGGACAACAUCGUGCUUCUCUCAACAAAGAGUUUAGAAUCUGAGGCUUGGUUUGGGGGAAAUAAAUAAAAAUACAGAAUGGUCUUCUUAUAAUCUGAUCCAGGUCUCAGGGCUUCAGGAGAUGUUUAUUGCAGUGAUUCUGUUUCUGACCCAGUUUUUGCAUCUCUUUGAGGGGAGGGCGUGUGGUCUGCAAGUGGGGGCAGGGGCAGGGGAGGGGGGUGGCCUGGGCUGCGUGGCAGAUAAAUCACACAUCACUGGAUGCUCUUAGAGAGUAGGCACGCCGCCCUUUCGCCACCAGUUUGGCUGGACUUUGCAAACAGAUCAUUGCCCCAGUCCAACCGCAAGGCCGACCGCGGCCCCCAAGCCCGCUUUGCAAAGCUGAACAGGGAAGGGGCCUCUCGGGGCCCUUAGUCUGGGUGAGUCAGGCGUGGAGGGAAUUUGGGUCACCCGGAAAGGCCCACUUGGGCUGCUCCAGCCGCAUCUCGCCCUCUCCUGCCUCUUUCACCGUUGCUAAGGUGGGAGGUUGCCGGGGUGAAGAUUUGACCCCCAGGAAGAAGAAUCCGCAGGUCAGAGGGUGGGUGGUCCGAGGUGGGGACGCGCUGUCUGUGGUCAGGGAGGGGCGAGGAAACAGCCGGGCAGCCCCAAGGCAGGAGCUGGCUGUUGGGAUUCUGGCAGAAAGGGACCAGUGCUGGAUACCACCGUGCAGGGGCCAAGGCUGUCACCCAAGGCCGGGUGAGCAAAGGUGCCCAUCCCGUGGUCACACAUGCAGGGCCAGAGCCAGGAGAGCCAGGAUUCGAGGCUCUGUUUCCAGCAGGGUCUGAGCUUCCAGGCAGGGACUUGUCCCAGUAUUUUCAGCCUCCUCUAUGUAGGUAGGGAGCCUCUUUGCUCUGUGCAUCUCCAAGGACCGGCACAGGCACUCCCUCCUUUGGUCAUCAAUACCAGGCAGGAUAUUGCCCUUCUUCCUGCUUCAGCAGACUUGGGGGGCGGUUGUCAUUUCUGUCUCGGAAGGAGGGAAGAAGGAACGCAGCGCCGUGCUGGAACGGGGCUGGCGUUCUUCGCCUGCCCGUGCGGGCAUCCUGCCUGCAGCCCGCUUUGUCUUCCUUUGUUGUCUUCACCUUUGACCUUUAUUCUGUUCAUCAAGGGCCCCGGGGGGCUACUUUGCUAAGUGGGUUGUGAUCCCAGCCUCCAGCCGUGACCUCGGGCAGUCAUUGAAACCCUGUUGAAUCUCAGCGCCCUCGUCCGCUACGCUACAAGGGCCACAGUGAUGCCAGCCUUGCCCACCUCCAGCAUCCUGGAGGCCAGACGGACAAGCACAUGCUCAGUACGGGCAUUGAUGAUACCGGUGGUUUCAGAGUGUGGUUCGGGGUCCGGCAGUAGCCCCCUCCUCUGGGAGCGAGUGCGACAUGCACAGUCUCAGGCCCAGCCCGGGCCUCGGGGAUGGAGACAGGCCGUCUGUGUUUUAACAAACUCUCCAGGCAAGUCUGGCAUGUGCUCGUGUUGGACAACCGCUGCUUAAUUCAAAUUUAAUUCACAUUCAAUUCUCAGCCUAAAUUUAUGCUAUAAGCAUUUUGCAAGGUGUCUACUGUGUAUUUGGUGCUAAAGGUCUGGUCUUUUCUACGAAACAGAAACAGAUUCACAGACGUAGAGAACAGACGUGCGGUUGCCAAGGGGGAGGGAGCGGGGCGGCCGGGGAGUUUGGGGUGAGCAGAUGCAAACUAUUCCAUUUGGGAUGGAUUAACGACGAGGUCCUGCUGCACAGCAUGGGGAACUCUCUCCAGUCUCUUGGGAUCGACCAGGAUGGAAGAUACUGUAAGAAAGGGAAUGUAGAGGUUCCUGUCGUGGCUCAGCGGGUUAAGACUCCAACUAGGAUCCAUGAGGACGCAGGUUCCAUCCCAGGCCUUGCUCAGUGGGUGAAGGAUCCGGUGUGCCGUGAGCUGUGCUGCAGGUCGCAGACGUGGCUCGGAUCUGGCCUGGCUGUGGCUGUAGUGGAGGCCGGCAGCUGCAGCUCCAAUUCAACCCCUCGCCUAGGAACCUCCAUAUGCUGCAGGUGCAGCCCUGAAAAGAAAACAGGGAGUUCCCAUCGUGGCUCAGCGGUAACGAACCUGACUAGUAUCCAUGUGGACAGGGGUUGGAGCCCUGGCCUCCUCCUUCAGUGGGUUAAGGAUCCAGCAUUGCUGUGAGCUGCAGUGUAGGUCACGGAUGUGGCUUGGAUCUGGCAUUGCUGUGGCUGUGGUGUAGGCUCCAGUUCGACCCCUAGCCUGGGCACUUCCACAUGCUUCAGGUGUGUCCCUAAAAAGAAAAAAAAA
rnacentral:lncRNA from 1 species